rnacentral:rRNA from 1 species
UACAGAGGUCUCAAGCGUUGUUCGGAUUCAUUGGGCGUAAAGGGCGCGUAGGCGGCGGGGUAAGUCGGGUGUGAAAUCUCAGAGCUCAACUCUGAAACUGCACUCGAUACUGCUCUGCUUGAGGACUGGAGAGGAGACUGGAAUUCACGGUGUAGCAGUGAAAUGCGUAGAUAUCGUGAGGAAGACCAGUGGCGAAGGCGGGUCUCUGGACAGUUCCUGACGCUGAGGCGCGAAGGCCAGGGGAGCAA